rnacentral:lncRNA from 1 species
GAGAGAGACUCUGGAGGAUGAGAGACCAUGAAGGGCAACAGAGAAAGACCCAGCCAACCCAGAAAACCUCCUGUGGAGAAUAAGCCUUUGUUGGAGAGAAGAAACCAAUGCUAAGAUGCGCCUGCUUCAGUCGGAUAUAAUUUAUCGCUUAUCUUCAAGAAAAAGAAACUCAAGUAACAAAAAAGGUAAAGAAGUCUCAUUCUCGCACAAUCUUUAGAACCUUGAAGCUGAACCACAGGAUCAGUGAGGUUGCUUCUUAAUGCAGGCCCUGAUGUUACUAAACUUGAACCUACGUCUCUUCUCAGAAUCUUUCAUAUUCAGUUUUUCAGACAAAAUGUAGUGAAGGAUAUGAUGUUUCCUGUAUAAUUAAUGCUCAGUAAAUGCUGUUGACUAUGUAAAACAACCUGUUUAGCACUUCUGGGCUGCUAAGCCCCUCUAACCUCC